GUCUAAGGUCAGAACAAAAACUCAAUGAAAAUGAGGACUGUCAAUCAUCUGACUGGUUUUUGUGGAACAAUAUUGAAAAAAGUAGUGGAGAAUUUUGGACGAUGGAGUUUUGAAAAUUAUGAGCUUGGACAGGAAAAAA
ensembl:ncRNA F40E10.7 ncRNA